rnacentral:rRNA from 1 species
GUGGGGAAUAUUGGACAAUGGGGGGAACCAUGAUCCAGCCAUGCCGCGUGUGUGAAGAAGGCCUUUUGGUUGUAAAGCACUUUAAGCGAGGAGGAGGCUACCGAGAUUAAUACUCUUGGAUAGUGGACGUUACUCGCAGAAUAAGCACCGGCUAACUCUGUGCCAGCAGCCGCGGUAAUACAGAGGGUGCAAGCGUUAAUCGGAUUUACUGGGCGUAAAGCGCGCGUAGGUGGCCAAUUAAGUCAAAUGUGAAAUCCCCGAGCUUAACUUGGGAAUUGCAUUCGAUACUGGUUGGCUAGAGUAUGGGAGAGGAUGGUAGAAUUCCAGGUGUAGCGGUGAAAUGCGUAGAGAUCUGGAGGAAUACCGAUGGCGAAGGCAGCCAUCUGGCCUAAUACUGACACUGAGGUGCGAAAGCAUGGGGAGCAAACAGGAUUAGAAACCCGGGUAGUCC